rnacentral:rRNA from 1 species
GUGAACGCUGGCGGUAGGCCUAACACCUGCAAGUCGAACGGCAGCACCGUAAGAGCUUGCUCUUACGGGUGGCGAGUGGCGGACGGGUGAGGAAUACAUCGGAAUCUACUUUUUCGUGGGGGAUAACGUAGGGAAACUUACGCUAAUACCGCAUACGACCUACGGGUGAAAGCAGGGGAUCUUCUGACCUUGCGCGAUUGAAUGAGCCGAUGUCGGAUUAGCUAGUUGGCGGGGUAAAGGCCCACCAAGGCGACGAUCCGUAGCUGGUCUGAGAGGAUGAUCAGCCACACUGGAACUGAGACACGGUCCAGACUCCUACGGGAGGCAGCAGUGGGGAAUAUUGGACAAUGGGCGCAAGCCUGAUCCAGCCAUACCGCGUGGGUGAAGAAGGCCUUCGGGUUGUAAAGCCCUUUUGUUGGGAAAGAAAAGCAGCAGGUUAAUACCCCGCUGUUCUGACGGUACCCAAAGAAUAAGCACCGGCUAACUUCGUG